rnacentral:lncRNA from 1 species
CCGAAACUGAGGCACUAAAAUUGUUGUCUUUGUUCUUUCCCUGGUGUCAUUGGAACAGCACAACACCCCUGCGUGUCUCAAUGGGAUCCAGAAUUCCCAACACCCAUUUUUUAAAGGUGAAGUAUACUGCCCCUCUCCCAUUCAAACAUUCCAGACUAUACAUCUUACCAAGGGAAAAACAGGCUCUUCCAGCCAAGUACUUCUGAAUAGAAGGCAAUGGACAGAAAAAGAGGAAGAUCGAUUGUUAGAAGAUAGGAGUGAAGUUGAGUUAGUCCCGACCAGGGGCCAGAACACGAUACCAUAGCCAAAAGGUCCAGCGGCUUUAUGAGGUAACUGUUGCAUAAAUACACUGAAAUAACACGGUAUCUACAAUAUGUUGCCAGCUAGUAACUAAGGACAUGAACAAACUCACUUCCCAAUUGCAUAAUGAUUUAAAUUAUAUAAGUACAUUUGGGGUUUUGUAUCUACUGAACCAAAAGCAAGGUCAAUUAGUCCAUCUGGAACUAAACUAGUUCACUACAGCUAGUUGGCUAAAUUCACUCAGUAACCUCAUGGGACGCCAAACUGUAAAAGCAAACAGAGCAGACACACUUAGGCCAAAGUGCAAGGAGGCUUUCCAGAUCCUCUCAUUCAAUUAGGCUGUCUGUGUGACCCAUCAGGAGUGUGGCUGAGAUAGGCCAGGGAACAGCCCCUCACUACUUCUUUCACAUCUUCAAUAGAGUUGUUGUCUUGCACAAAAUGGAUUCCAUGCAUCACUUUAAUGGAGCUCAGAGUAAAGCACACAGGCCACGUCUACACAAAGAGGCCAAUUCCGAUCUUAGUGAAUUAACUGACCUUUGACCAAUCAAAGGCCAAUAAGGUAAACAUGUUUUUGAAUCAGGUUGAAUGUGUAAACACAGAGACCAGUACGGAAAAGCUCUAUCCUUAAGAAUACCAUCUAUUACAACGACCAAGGAGAGUACAACUUAAGGCUGAAAUAAAACAUUAAUUCAUAAGACCGUGAAGUUAACUUUAAAA